UACGUAGGGGGCAAGCGUUGUUCGGAAUGACUGGGCGUAAAGGGUGCGUAGGCGGUGCAGCAAGUUAGAAGUGAAAUGCCUAGAGCUUAACUCAGGUGCUGCUUCUAAAACUGCUAUACUUGAGUGCAGUAGAGGAAAGUGGAAUUCCUAGUGUAGCGGUGGAAUGCGUAGAUAUUAGGAGGAACAUCAGUGGCGAAGGCGACUUUCUGGACUGUAACUGACGCUGAGGCACGAAAGUGUGGGGAGCAAACAGG
rnacentral:rRNA from 1 species